CCUGCCAAAUUGUGACUCUGUGGUUCCGCAUUGAUAUAUUUUAAAUCUCUACACCAUCUGGCUUGGUUUAGAAUAAGUGUUAGGAUCAGUUUAGGCAUAUCACUUUAGUUUGUCGUCAGUGAAGGAGGCGUUCUCUUCGUGUGGUCAAUUGCUUUAAUUCAAAACGCUUGAAUCAAAGAUCAGAGCACUUUGAGGAGUGGCGUGCUGUGGUCCUGAAUGAAAUUAAUUUAUUCUCAAUUUAUCCAGCUUCCACGAGUUUCAGACCCCUUGAAGGCCUUGUGGUUUCACACCUCUCCCCCAUGUAGUCUACUAUGUCUGGAUAGAUCAAAGACACAAGGGAUACAGGUGAGGAAACGGUGUUAGCGAUUUGACCGGACGAGGAAGUCAUCUCUCCAGAGAGGAGACUGUAACAAAAACAGCCAGUCCAGACCAGCCCGGCACACCCACUCCUGUGUGUAAAUCUAACUGACAUCUCACUGAGAGGAGAGGGAGCAAAACCCCUGUUGACUGCAUCAGAACCAGACCUGGGUCCAACCAGUAUGUACUCUAUACUUUCAAAUACUAUGAGAAUUUGCUUUAGCCUGACCUGGAGUGUCAAAUGGGUGGGUUUUCAAAUCAAAUUGUAUUUGUCACAUGCGCCGAAUACAACAGGUGUAGUAGACCUU